rnacentral:rRNA from 1 species
AUACGUAGGGGGCGAGCGUUGUCCGGAUUUACUGGGCGUAAAGGGUGAGUAGGCGGUUGCAUAUGUCAGAUGUAAAAGGCACAGGCUCAACUUGUGUUAGCAUUUGAAACUGUGCGACUUGAGUGCAGGAGAGGUAAGUGGAAUUCCUAGUGUAGCGGUGAAAUGCGUAGAUAUUAGGAGGAAUACCAGUGGCGAAGGCGACUUUCUGGACUUAUACUGACGCUGAGGUACGAAAGCGUGGGGAGC